CUACGGGUCGCUGCAGUCGAGAAUCAUUCGCAAUGGGCGAAAGCCUGACGAUGCGACGCCGUGUGGACGAUGAAGGCCUUCGGGUUGUAAAGUCCUUUCGCAAGGGAACAAGAGAUAGUGACUAAUAAUCACUAAAUUUGAGGGUACCUUGUAAAGAAGCACCGGCUAACUCCGUGCCAGCAGCUGCGGUAAUACGGAGGGUGCAAGCAUUAAUCGGAUCUACUGGGCGUAAAGCGCGCGUAGGCGGCUAGAUCAGUCGGGUGUGAAAGCCCCGGGCUUAACCUGGGAACUGCAUCCGUGCUGUCUAGCUUGAGUACAGGAGAGGAGAGUGGAAUUCCACAUGUAGCGGUGAAAUGCGUAGAUAUGUGGAGGAACACCAAUGGCGAAGGCAGCUCUCUGGCCUGAUACUGACGCUGAGGUGCGAAAGCGUGGGGAGCAAACAGGAUUAGAUACCCCAGUAGUC
rnacentral:rRNA from 1 species